AACGUAGGUUGCAAGCGUUAUCCGGAUUUACUGGGCGUAAAGCGUGUGCAGGCGGGGGUACAAGUGGUGUAUGAAAUUUCCCAGCUUAACUGGGAAGGGUUAUGCCAGACUGUACUUCUGGAGUGCGAGAGAGGGGCGUGGAAUUCCGGGUGUAGUGGUGAAAUGCGUAGAGAUCCGGAGGAACCCCAGAGGCGAAGGCGGCGCCCUGGCUCGCAACUGACGCUCAGACACGACAGCAUGGGGAGCGAACGGG
rnacentral:rRNA from 1 species